rnacentral:rRNA from 1 species
AACGAACGCUGGCGGCAUGCCUAACACAUGCAAGUCGAACGAGACCUUCGGGUCUAGUGGCGCACGGGUGCGUAACGCGUGGGAAUCUGCCCUUGGGUUCGGAAUAACAGUUGGAAACGACUGCUAAUACCGGAUGAUGACGUAAGUCCAAAGAUUUAUCGCCCAAGGAUGAGCCCGCGUAGGAUUAGCUAGUUGGUGAGGUAAAGGCUCACCAAGGCGACGAUCCUUAGCUGGUCUGAGAGGAAGAUCAGCCACACUGGGACUGAGACACGGCCCAGACUCCUACGGGAGGCAGCAGAGGGGGAUAUUGGAACAUGGGCGGAAGCAUGAUCCAGCAAGGCCGCGAGAGCGAUGAAGGCCGUGGAGUUGUAGAGCUCUUUUACCCGUGAUGAUAAUGACAGUACCGAAAGAAUAAGCUCCGGCUAACUACGUG